rnacentral:RNase_P_RNA from 1 species
CCAAGGGUGCGUGCAUUCGCUCGGUGAGAACCGAGAGGAAAGUCCGGACACUACAGGGCAGGAUUCCGUGUGAAAGCGCGGGCGUCAGUCGUCAAGGGCUGGCGACGGAAAGUGUCACAGAAAACAAACCACCGGUGUGGCAUUGCGUCCGCCGGAACGGGUGAAAAGGUGGGGUAAAAGCCCACCGCAACAGCGGUAACGGUGUUGGCAGGAAAAACCCAAUCCAGUGCAAGACAAAAUAGGGAAGCGGGCUGCCCGUCCCAUGCUUCCGGGUAUGUUGCAUCGCCGUGAGGCGAAACCAUUAACGAAAGUUAAUGGUUAGAGGAAUGAAUGCAGCCGCCGCUGUUUUUUUCAGGGGCGGAACAGAAUCCGGCUUACAGCACCCUUGGUCUU